CGUUACAAUUAUAUUUGGCAUGACGAGCGACUCACUAGCUACUGAUGCGCGACUCACUAGCUAUGUCCUAGACACUUUUCUGUACAUACUUAUAAUUUUAUCCUCGGGUUCUCACUUCUAAUAGAUACGAUCAUCAAAGAGAUGUACAAUAGAUACCGCAUUUUCCUGGAUCAAAUAGGUCUGAUGAUCUAGAGGUUGGUUUCCUAUCUUUCCCACUUGGCUUUGGCAAAUGUGCUCUUCACCUUGUGGAAUAUUAUCCUCCUUCUUUCUCCCAAGAUCUACCAGAGUGGCAUGCUCAGUAUGAAUCAGAAGGAAAAGAUAUCUUUGAUUACCGAUUGUAAUAAUGACUACAACCGGAGGUGGUUCGAGAGAUCCAUUAUAAUACCGACCAUGUGCCUCGUCAAUUCAGAGAGUGUGACUUUUCCGGAGAAGUGGAAUCCCAACCUUAUUUCCCUUGAUUUUAGAGGGGUCGACAACAUAAAAGAGUGGGUAUUUGAGAUCUUGGGGGUUUCUUCUACCAAGUCAAGAACAUUGCUUUCGGGCUUAAGAUGAGAGUUAAAUUCCACAGACUUUCACUUCAUGGUCCUUAGGAAGAAAAAGGAGAAGCAUGAGAAACAACAACCUCUCUCAAAGGCUAGAUUUCCCAAUGACGAUGGCGCUAUAUAGAAGAUUCGAGAGCUAUUUUUUCUUCAGCAACAGAAGCUCAGUGACUCUAGUGCCGCUUCCAUUUAGCCUCCUUCUAUCAGUUCCCCAUCUAAGAGAAAGAGGACAACUGAGAAAAUAAUUGGCCACCUGGGUUAAUAAGAACAGUCCCCAUAUUAGGCCUCCGACUGCUCGCUGCCACCUAAGUGAGGAUGUUGAAAGUGACAGGGUCAUAGUUAUGGUCGAUUUGGAGGAAGAUACCCAUACUGGAGAUGAGAGGUCACUUACUAUAGUGAAUCUGGAUGGAGAUUAUGAAAUUCCUAUCCCUGCGGGUCUGCUUGAUAAGGGGAUGCCCCUUGUUCCUAUACUGACGAUCACUGCCGCUCGAGGAUGGGAGGCACCUUCAGUUGGCGAUAAUGUAGUGUUGGCACAGGUUACUCCUACCGGACCUUCUAUUGAACUGAGCGAAUGCAUUAUAUCGUUCACCCUUCCCAAUGAUGUCAAUCUCAUAGCGAAACCUUGUCAUGCUAUUGAAUGUUUGCACUAAUAGGUCGGCCCCACUGAGAAGGAGAAGAUGGUGUAAUAUGAUAUGGAAUGGUUGAUGACCCAGAUUAUGUAUGGAACCAUCAGGGUACAUUUUAUUUUCUGCCGUGUUUCAAAUUGUUAUCUUGAGUUUAUAACUUUCCUGACCUAUUGUCUACAUCGUGCAGCAUAACUUAAUCAUUUCUGAGACUUUAAAAAGACUCAAAACUAAUAAGACCAAUUUUAACACGAUCAAGAAGAUGUGCAAGUUGAUGAUAGCAGAGGUCAGAGGGAUAAAAGUUGUUGAGUGGAGCUCAAAGAGGCGAUAGAAAGAGAUUUUGGAUGAGAACUAGUGUACUCUCGGGAUCUCGCUAGAAAGAGCUUCUGUACGAGAAUUGUUGUACUCUCGAGAUCUCGCCAAAGUUGAUGAGAAAAUUUGAACUCUUAAGGCCGAAUUGAUUAAGAAGGAGGAGGCUAAGCUCCGGUUUGUAACAGAGCAUUCCUAAAUGGAGGCGCGAGAGAAAGAGUUAAAAGUUGUCUUGGCCCUUUCAGAUGAGUUUUCUUGGGGUAGCAUUGCCGACAGAGCUACCUUGAAAGAAGAAUACGAUAAGAUGGCUUAACAAUUGAGCUUGACAACAAUUAGGUCACCUUGGAAACCAGAUUGCAUAUUCUCUAUGAGGUUCAUGUGGGAAGACGGACAUUCAAAGGAAAAUCAUGGCUCUUGAAGUCGAAACGAAAGAAUAUUCUCUUAGAUUAUCCUUCUCUCGAUGGUCGCGAGUACAGCCUUGUUUUGGGUGAGGAUAGCUCGGGAGGAAAUUCAGAAAAAGAUAACAAAUGAGAAGAGAUUUCGGCACCUCCGCCAUCUUCGCCUCUCCUGGCCGCUCAAUUUCUAAAUAUUGCCCCGUCAUCUAGACCUUCAGACCACAUUCUUGAUCCGAACUAUGUAGCUAGUAGGCCCGAUGGUUCUUAAGUAUCGUAUUUU